rnacentral:rRNA from 1 species
CCUACGGGGCGCUGCAGUGGGGAAUAUUGGGCAAUGGGCGCAAGCCUGACCCAGCAACGCCGCGUGCAGGAAGAAGGCUUUCGGGUUGUAAACUUCUUUUGUCAGGGAAGAGUAGAAGACGGUACCUGACGAAUAAGCCACGGCUAACUACGUGCCAGCAGCCGUGGUAAUACGUAGGUGGCAAGCGUUGUCCGGAUUUACUGGGUGUAAAGGGAGUGUAGGCGGGUUGACAAGUCAGAUGUGAAAUCCUGCGGCUUAACCGCAGAACUGCAUUUGAAACUGUUGAUCUUGAGUACUGGAGAGGCAGAUGGAAUUCCUAGUGUAGCGGUGAAAUGCGUAGAUAUUAGGAGGAACACCAGUGGCGAAGGCGGUCUGCUGGACAGCAACUGACGGUGAGGCGCGAAAGCGUGGGGAGCAAACAGGAUUAGAUACCCGGGUAGUC